GGCGUACAGGACGAACGGCUGGCGGCGCGCCUAACACAUGCAAGUCGAACGAGAGAUGAGGAGCUUGCUCUUCAAAUCGAGUGGCGAACGGGUGAGUAACGCGUGAGGAACCUGCCUCAAAGAGGGGGACAACAGUUGGAAACGACUGCUAAUACCGCAUAAGCCCACGGCUCGGCAUCGAGCAGAGGGAAAAGGAGCAAUCCGCUUUGAGAUGGCCUCGCGUCCGAUUAGCUAGUUGGUGAGGUAACGGCCCACCAAGGCGACGAUCGGUAGCCGGACUGAGAGGUUGAACGGCCACAUUGGGACUGAGACACGGCCCAGACUCCUACGGGAGGCAGCAGUGGGGAAUAUUGCACAAUGGGGGAAACCCUGAUGCAGCGACGCCGCGUGGAGGAAGAAGGUCUUCGGAUUGUAAACUCCUGUUGUUGAGGAAGAUAAUGACGGUACUCAACAAGGAAGUGACGGCUAACUACGUG
rnacentral:rRNA from 1 species